GACGAACCGUGCGAACGUUGUUCGGAUUCACUGGGCUUAAAGGGCGCGUAGGCGGACUCGAUAGUCUGUGGUGAAAGCCCCCAGCUCAACUGGGGAAGUGCCGUGGAUACUGCGAGUCUGGAGGAGGGUAGGGGCGUCUGGAACGCUGGGUGGAGCGGUGAAAUGCGUUGAUAUCCAGCGGAACUCCGGUGGCGAAGGCGAGGCGCUGGACCCUUUCUGACUCUGAGGCGCGAAAGCCAGGGGAGCAAACGGG
rnacentral:rRNA from 1 species